UAACACCAGCGCCACAAGUGGCGAUCGUUUUUAUUGGGCCUAAAGCGUCCGUAGCUGGUUUGGUAAAUCUCUUGUGAAAUUGUUAAGCUUCACUUAACAGCGUGCAGGAGACACUGCCAAACUCGGAACCGGUAGGAGUCAGAAGUAUGAUAGGGGUAACGGUAAUAUGUUAUAAUCCCUACUAGACUACCUGUGGCGAAGGCGUCUGACUAGGACGGAUUCGACAGUGAGGGACGAAAGCCAGGGGAGCGAACCGGAUUAGAUACCCGAGUAGUCCUGGCCGUAAACGCUGUGAGCCAGGUGUUGCAUAUUCUUCGGGAAUAUGCAGUAUCGAAAUGAAGAUGUUAAGCUCACCGCCUGGGAAGUAUGGUCGCAAGACUG
rnacentral:rRNA from 1 species